rnacentral:rRNA from 1 species
AUUGAACGCUGGCGGCAGGCCUAACACAUGCAAGUCGAACGCGUGGCGGACGGGUGUGUAAUGUCUGGGAAACUGCCUGAUGGAAGGGGAUAACUCCUGGAAACGGUAGCUAAUACCGCAUACCAUCAGAUGUGCCCAGAUGGGAUUAGCUAGUAGGUGGGGUAACGGCUCACCUCGGCGACGAUCCCUAGCUGGUCUGAGAGGAUGACCAGCCACACUGGAACUGAGAGACGGUCCAGACGCCUACGGGAGGCAGCAGUGGGGAAUAUUGAACAAUGGGCGCAAGCCUGAUGCAGCCAUGCCGCGGGUAUGAAGAAGGCCUUCGGGUUGUAAAGUACUUUCAGCGGGGAGGCGUUACCCGCAGAAGAAGCACCGGCUAACUCCGUGCCAGCAGCCGCGGUAAUUC